GUUGAAACACCAAUUCUCGUACGACCACUGAAUUAAAGCAACGUCGAGCCUGGUCAGUACCUAGAUGGGUGACCGCUUGGGAAUACCAAGUGCUGUAAG